UUUAUUUGUUAUAAAAAGAUUACAUUCAUAGACUAGUGUUUGUAAAGUGAAACGGCUCACAACUCUUUCGAGCUGCUCGCCAUUAAAACAGAUGCACAGGGUUAGAUGUGAGAAGGUCGGGUUCCAAGUUAAAUUGGACACCCUUGUUAUUCACUAAUGAUCCUUCCGCAGGUUCACCUACGGAAA
rnacentral:misc_RNA from 1 species